rnacentral:lncRNA from 1 species
UAUAAAAAAAAAUAAUUUAUACAAAACUACAAAUUUACAACUACAAACCAAAAAACUUUUUUAUAAAAUCGAAUACGAUUCGUUUGUUUCGUGCAACAAGAAAGAAUGAAAAAUGAAACGUUGAAAAGGAUCUAUUCGCAACAGGGAAGCAAGUUACGAUCAACUGACUCGUGUCGUCGAAUUAAUCGGUAAACGAACGAUAAAAGGCUUAUCUAAAAUUGCGAAUGAAAUCAGAUUAACGAGCUCUGCGGGAGACAUUACGAUCAGUCCGCAGUUAGAUUAAAUCGGCUAGACAUCCAUUACUGGCGCGUCAUGAGAAAAGGGGUGAGAAACGGAAAGCAGAGGAGGAGACGAUCCGUCUCGACUGCUUUAAACGGAUAGGAAGUUCGAAGCGGAUAGACUUUGAGAGGAACUGCGAAGACGCACGCAUUUCUAGGAAAAAAAUAUAAAUCACUAGGCCACUGAUGAUCCAAUAAUCUCUGCAUCGUCUUAAUCGCUAUGGACACUUUAAAUUCUUAUAUUCGACAAUCGAUGAGAUAUCGAGAUGAAACAAAAAAAAAAACUUCAAUGGCACCGUUUUCUCAAUUUUCUUCAAAAGUCUCCACCAUACACAUUAUCCUUUUCUUUUUCUUUUUCUUUUUCUCCUUUCUAUACUUUUUUCUCCCUCUCUUUUGCUUCACCUCAUCCUCUUUCUUUUUUUCCUUCUUUCUUUCUUCUCUCCCCUUCAAUCUCCAUCUUCCCCUCCCCCUUCCUUUACCCCUUUGCCGCCGCUAAAUGCAAGCAUCGCUUGCACGCGGCACGAGUCAAACAGACGCGUUUUACGCGUAAUUUAACCCAAGCCUCGUGAAAACGACGACACACAACCGUGUUUCCACGCCCUUUGUACGCUCUCCGCUGCUCUGGACGUCGACGCGACUUUGACUCCACGGAGGCGGACACGUAGACAUCCUCUUAUCCCCUUUGGGGCCAACAAAGCCACGAGAUCCAUAGGACUUCGGCCUGGAUAUACACGUAUCUGCGGGCUCUGAUGGCUAGAGUCACGCGCCUCGAAUAAAAUACUAUCCCGUCGAGACCGUUACUUCUACCGCGUAACGUUUUCCGCUUGUGUGUCCUUCCACCAUGUUUUAUUUAUAAAGACCGCGAGGAUUUUUCUCGAGGAUCGGGAAGACGCCGAAUGGAAUGAGACUUAAGCUUGAUUUGCUGGGAAUCGAGGUCUGGAAAUGGUGGAAUUUUACGCUCGUGCAACGCCGGAUUUUUCGCGUGGUAAUAAUGGAAGAAACGAGGAGCGUGUCCUAACCUCAAAAUUUAUAGGUUCAAAAUUAUAGGAAAAAUUGAAGUAAAAAAUUCAUUUUUCGAAUAUUAUUUUGUUAUUUGCAUGGAACUGUUUGAUGAUAAGAAAAAAUAGACGGAAAAGGAAAGAUGGAACGUACAAACAUAAAUUUGUCGAAUAAUAGGAGUGAUUGAUCGAAUAAAAAAUCUUUUAUUUUCUUCCUCCGUUUCUCUUAUAUUGCGAAAUUCUUUCCUUCGUGAAAAAUUCACGAAAUCGCCUGGAAGUUUCAAUCGACUGUUUCUCGAUUCUUUAAGAAUAGCUUCGACAAAGAAAACAUCUAAAUUUAUUGCAACAAGAGUUAUUUGGAAUCAAAAUGAAACGGAAUAUUCGAUUAUCAAAAGUCUCUGAGGGAAAUAAUCAGAUAUUUUUCCUCCGCGAAGUUAAUCAUCGGGCUAAUGCUCCUUUCUUGAUACCAACAAGGUAUCCGGGACAGAUGUUUGCCAUCAAUCAAAGUGUAUGUAACGAUUAAUCCAUCACGUAUAUCAUUGCACUGCGAGAAUUGUCGGGAAGAUUAUAAGAGACUUCUAUCAUGAGACACGCUUGAGACACAACUGCGAAGAUCAAAUUACCCCAUCUCUCACGUAUAUCUCAUGUUGUUUCUUACGAUGGCGAUGAUAAAAUCGAAGAAGGUUAAACGCUUUAAAAGGUUAAAAAAGACUUAAGAAAUUUACUUUUAUUUACUCUUAAAAAUUUGAUAGAUGAUAUAAAUAUUGAAAGUUGCAGAGAACUUAAGAACGCAUUAAAAAAGCGAGAUAAAAAUAGUCCAUAAUGUGAACUGAAACUAUACAAUCUUCAACAUCUAUAAUAUCUCGGCAAGAGUUAUAGAAAAUCGAAGAGUUACAACAAUUUCUAGAAACUUUUGACAAAUAAUUGGAAAUAAAUCGAGGCGACGAUAUCUCUCUCGAGAUAAAAUUUACUGUGAACAAACCAAAGAAGGAAAUAUAAAAGAACGAAAGUUUGAUCGUGUCGCUUAAUUAAAAAUCAAGAUCGUGUCACGAGUGAAAGGAUAUUCCUUUCGGAAUACUUGGCCUGAGUUGCGAACUUUUUUUUGGCUCGUGAAAAUGAAACUAAGUUUUAUAACGAAAUGAAGAUAUGCCUUCUUUGCGAUAAAAAGACUUGAAUAUUCAUGGAAAAAAAAUCAUAAACUCAAAGAAAAGGAUAAGUAUUAUUAUUUCAUACUCAUACAUACAUUAAAAUUAAUUUCUCAAAACGAUAUUAUUUAUAGGAUGAUUUGAUGGACAAGUAUGCAUUUUAAUAUAUUCAAUAUAAUUACAAAAAUCUAAUGGAAUUCAAAGCAAAUAUGUUACAUACUAUAUACAACAGCUUGUACCAAAAGAAAAUGAAGAAUUCAUGUCAAAAGAAUGGAAAAUCUUGGCACAAGAAAAAAUUAAAUGCGCCCAAAACGUUCAAUCUCUGACAAACAUCAUAUUUGAUACAAUGUAUCAGCUGUUCCGAUACUCAUACUACAAGAAGGUUUUCCUUUUUAAAAAAGUAGAGCCACUUGAACCUCCUUUCCGCACAAAGUAACUCGUUUCGAGUUGUUGGCAAAUUGAAAUCGAUCGAAUCCUCCUCCUUUUCGCCCGGUAUUCCUUUUUACACCACACUCUGAUUCAAUUUCGAGAACAGAUGCAAUCGCUUAGAAGAAGGGACGGGACCAGGAGAUGGGGCUGAGAAGCGGAGCAAGAAGUGGAAACUAUUUUUCCGGGUGAACCACGAGCAUGGAGGUUGGACGCUCUCUGGUGUAAACCAUUAACGCUCGAUUAGAAACGUAUCUUUCGUAAAAUUAUCCUUUCCGGCCUUGACUUUGGUGCACCGCCUCCGGAUAAACUGUUUGGCUCUGUUGGAUACUUCUUGCCCAUUCUUUCUCGCAUCCGGAUAUUUUUAUUCGUUCAAGGAUGCGUCACAAAUCUUGGAAAAGAAUCAGAUUCUCAUCGUUGGAAAAUUAUUGAAAUAGAAAGUUAAAUGAUAUUUAAAAUUAUCAUUUGAGUACUGAUAAUAUAAAAGAAAGAAGAAACUUUUCAUGAAAUUCUAUGUUAUUAUUUAAGAUUUGAAGAAUUGAUAAUUGGAAGAUGAAUUCAUGGAUUAGCUUCGAUAAUCUUAAUCUUUAAGCCUAAUGGAUGAUUUCAAUCGAAUUGACAGAGUUAGAGAGCUAAGUUUCGCUUCUAAAUAGUGUUCAUAGAUUGAUCUUAUAAGCUCUAAAGAAGCUUAUAAGAAGAAGAAAUAAUGAAUCAUCAUACUCAAAAAUGAAAAACCAGAAUAUAAUAUAAAAUAUUUAAGUGAGAUGUUUACACUUAAAACUUUUAAAACAGGAUUAUAGUAAUUUCAACUAAUAAAUUGGAAUAAUUAUAUUUACUAUAUUCCAUAUUAUUAUAAUAUUCAUGGCUGAAGAAAAAUGCAUGGAAGGAUUAAAACAUAAAGAUCAUCGAUGGAGAAUGUUUGAAUCUGAAUUUCUCAUAAAUCUAUCACAAAAACCUCGUCACAAUUCAUUCAAAUCUCUUUUCAAGCUUUUUAAGCAAGAAAAUCAUUCCAAUAAUCAAACGCACUUUUCCAUGAAAGCAAAGGCCACCUGUCCAUUGACCAAUAUCGAAACCUAUCCCUAAAUUCAACUAGGUUUCCAGGCCAGGCGUAAUUCCGGCCUUCGGUAUAAUGAGAGUGGCCGUAAUUUCGGAGGGUAAGCCGGCUUUCCAUUUGCCAGGAACUCACUCUCUAUCCACAAUCUCCUUCGACCACGGUAUCUCGCUGUCCGUUACGAUUCGAAGAAAGGAACAGUGGAUGGAACCGAACGCGAGUGAUAUCCAGAGACUAUUGAAUGACCUUAAUCCAAUUUCGAUUGGACCUUCAACUAAGGUCCACGAAAUCGACUGCUGUCUCACACAAGUGAGAUGAAAUUUGAAAUAAUGUGGCUCUGCCUAUGAUGAAACAUGAUUGCGAUUUUAUAUCCUAGUUUUUCUAUCUUUUAGUAUCUAGUAUUCAAUAAAAAAUAUAUAGAAUUGGGC